rnacentral:rRNA from 1 species
GACGUAGGGCGCGAGCGUUGUCCGGAUUUAUUGGGCGUAAAGAGCUCGUAGGCGGCUUGUUGCGUCGACUGUGAAAAACCCGCGGCUCAACCGUGUGGUCUGCAGUCGAUACGGGCAGGCUGGAGUUCGGUAGGGGGAGCGUGGAAUUCCUGGUGUAGCGGUGAAAUGCGCAGAUAUCAGGAGGAACACCAGCGGCGAAGGCGGCGCUCUGGGCCGGAACUGACGCUGAGGAGCGAAAAGCGUGGGUAGCAAACAGG